rnacentral:rRNA from 1 species
CCUACGGGGGGCAGCAGUGGGGAAUAUUGGACAAUGGGGGGAACCCUGAUCCAGCCAUGCCGCGUGUGUGAAGAAGGCCCUCGGGUUGUAAAGCACUUUCAGUGAGGAAGAACGCCUGGUGGUUAAUACACAUCAGGAAAGACAUCACUCACAGAAGAAGCACCGGCUAACUCCGUGCCAGCAGCCGCGGUAAUACGGAGGGUGCGAGCGUUAAUCGGAAUUACUGGGCGUAAAGCGCGCGUAGGUGGCUUGAUAAGCCGGUUGUGAAAGCCCCGGGCUCAACCUGGGAACGGCAUCCGGAACUGUCAAGCUAGAGUGCAGGAGAGGAAGGUAGAAUUCCCGGUGUAGCGGUGAAAUGCGUAGAGAUCGGGAGGAAUACCAGUGGCGAAGGCGGCCUUCUGGACUGACACUGACACUGAGGUGCGAAAGCGUGGGUAGCAAACAGGAUUAGAUACCCCAGUAGUC